rnacentral:rRNA from 1 species
UACAGAGGUCUCGAGCGUUGUUCGGAUUCAUUGGGCGUAAAGGGUGCGUAGGCGGCGGGGCAAGUCUGAUGUGAAAUCCUGGGGCUCAACCCUGGAACUGCAUUGGAUACUGCCUCGCUAGAGUACUGGAGAGGAAACUGGAAUUUACGGUGUAGCAGUGAAAUGCGUAGAGAUCGUAAGGAAGACCAGUGGCGAAGGCGAGUUUCUGGACAGUUACUGACGCUGAGGCACGAAGGCCAGGGGAGCAAACGGG